rnacentral:rRNA from 1 species
GUGCCAGCCGCCGCGGUAAUACGGAGGGUGCAAACGUUGCUCGGAAUUAUUGGGCGUAAAGCGCACGUAGGCGGUCCAGCAAGUCGGGUGUGAAAGCCCUCGGCUUAACCGAGGAAGUGCAUUCGAAACUAUUGGACUUGAAUACUGAAGAGGAUCGCGGAAUUCCCGGUGUAGAGGUGAAAUUCGUAGAUAUCGGGAGGAACACCAGUGGCGAAGGCGGCGAUCUGGGCAGAUAUUGACGCUGAUGUGCGAAAGCGUGGGGAGCAAACAGGAUUAGAUACCCGGGUAGUCC